GAGUUUGAUCCUGGCUCANGAAUGAACGCUAGCGGUGCGCUUAACACAUGCCAAGUCGUGCGAUCGAACCAGACGGAUUUCCCUUCGGGGUCUGAAGACUGGUCACGGAGCGGCGAACUGGUGAGUAACACGUAGCUAACCUACCCUCUUGACAGGAAUAACCAUUCNAAAGGAUGGCUAAUGCCCGAUGUUGUGCGGAGUUGAUGACUCCGUACCAAAGGCGGUCUUGCCGCCACAAGAGGAGGGGGCUGCGCUCUAUUAGCUUGUUGGUAGGGUAAUGGCCUACCAAGGCAAUAAUGGAUAGCUGGUCUGAGAGGACGAUCAGCCACAUUGGGACUGAGAUACGGCCCAGACUCCUACGGGAGGCAGCAGUGGGGAAUAUUGGACAAUGGACGAAAGUCCGAUCCAGNGACACCGCGUGGGGGAUGAAGGCUUUCGGGUUGUAAACCCCUUUUCUGGAGGAAGAAUAAGGUUGGGAGGAAAUGCCCAUCUGAUGACGGUACUCCAGGAAUAAGCAUCUGCAAACUUCGUGCCAGCAGCCGCGGUAAGACGAGGGAUGCAAGCGUUAUCCGGAAUUACUGGGCGUAAAGGGCGUCUAGGCGGUUGGAUAAGUCAUUUGUGAAAUCCCAG
rnacentral:rRNA from 1 species